rnacentral:lncRNA from 1 species
GCCCCUCCGCGCGGGCGCAGCCAUCCAGUCAGCGCCGGGCGGCGGCGCGCGGAGCGGGGCAGUUCGCAGGAAGCGCUGUAGGGAAAGAAAUACAUGUGGGACAAGAAGUGAUUUUCUCAUGGCAGUGGAAGCGUCCUGACCACCUGUCGUGGGACUCGCCUGCCAUCUGGUGUUUGAGUGAGAAACAGCAGAGAAACGCGAGGGAGGAGGUAAAACUGAAAGCUCGGCUCUCAGAGGCCAUCAGCUGAGGGAGAACUGGGCGCAGUUAGAAACUUGCCUUUCUCCCACUUUUUUCCUCUUUCUUUUGUGGUGCUGUGGAGCAAACCCAGGGCCUCACGUAUGCUAGGCUAACGCUCUUCCACUGGGCUAUAUCCCUAGUCAAAACCUGCCCUUUUGUAAAGAAACUUG